rnacentral:rRNA from 1 species
UGGGGAAUCUUGGACAAUGGGCGCAAGCCUGAUCCAGCCAUGCCGCGUGGAUGAUGAAGGCCUUAGGGUUAGUAAAAUCCUUUCGCCGAGGACGAUAAUGACGGUACUCGGAGAAGAAGCUCCGGCUAACUUCGUGCCAGCAGCCGCGGUAAUACGAAGGGGGCUAGCGUUGUUCGGAUUUACUGGGCGUAAAGCGCGUGUAGGCGGGUCGUUAAGUUGGGGGUGAAAUCCCGAGGCUCAACCUCGGAACUGCCUUCAAAACUGGCGACCUGGACCUAAGUAGAGGCAAGUGGAAUUGCGAGUGUAGAGGUGAAAUUCGUAGAUAUUCGGAAGAACACCAGUGGCGAAGGCGGCUCACUGGACGUGUAUUGACGCUGAGGUACGAAAGCGUGGGGAGCAAACAGGAUUAGAUACCCAUGUAGUCCCUGAGCGGGCUGGCAAGGCGCAU